UACGAGAGGCCCAAACGUUAUUCGGAAUUACUGGGCUUAAAGAGUUCGUAGGCGGCAUGACAAAUAGGGUGUGAAAGCCCUCGGCUCAACCGAGGAAUUGCGCUCUAAACUGUCGUGCUUGAGGACCUAGAGGUGAGCAGAACAGAUGGUGGAGCGGUGAAAUGCGUUGAUAUCAUCUGGAAUACCGGAGGCGAAGGCGGCUCACUGGGAGUUUUCUGACGCUGAGGAACGAAAGCCAGGGUAGCGAACGGG
rnacentral:rRNA from 1 species